rnacentral:rRNA from 1 species
GAUGAACGCUAGCUACAGGCUUAACACAUGCAAGUCGAGGGGCAGCGAGAAGAAAGCUUGCUUUCUUUGUCGGCGACCGGCGCACGGGUGAGUAACGCGUAUCCAACCUUCCCCUUAGUAGAGGAUAGCCCGGCGAAAGUCGGAUUAAUACUCUAUGUUAUUCGUUGAUGGCAUCUGAAAUGGAUCAAAGGUUUACCGCUAAGGGAUGGGGAUGCGUCUGAUUAGGUAGUCGGCGGGGUAACGGCCCACCGAGCCGACGAUCAGUAGGGGUUCUGAGAGGAAGGUCCCCCACAUUGGAACUGAGACACGGUCCAAACUCC